UACGGAGGGUGCAAGCGUUGUCCGGAUUUAUUGGGUUUAAAGGGUGCGUAGGCGGCGCGGUAAGUCGGGUGUGAAAUCUCAGGGCUCAACCCUGAAACUGCACUCGAUACUGCUCUGCUUGAGGACUGGAGAGGAGACUGGAAUUCACGGUGUAGCAGUGAAAUGCGUAGAUAUCGUGAGGAAGACCAGUGGCGAAGGCGGGUCUCUGGACAGUCCCUGACGCUGAGGCGCGAAGGCCAGGGGAGCAAACGGG
rnacentral:rRNA from 1 species